UUGCUUGCACCCCGUGCUCCCUCCUCCUCCAGAUCCGAGUCACUCCAAUCUACAUGCAUCAAGACGCCCCUAUUCUUCCGACAUGACAGCAGCUGAUCUGUUUUCUUGUGGUAAGCCUCAACUCUCAACCAUGGUCCUCCAAAAACAACAGUUAGGAUCUUUAGCUGUUCAUACAAAUUAUUUAUCAUUAAUCUAGGUCUCGGUGGCAGGAGCCCAAUGCUCGAAGGAUUAGCCGCAUGAGUGAGAAAAUAAGGGCCAUUUGCAUAUGUUUGGAGUGUGUUGAUUUAUUCAGUUUAAAGGGCUUUGUUUUCUCGUAUCUACUACAAUUUUGUAGGUGCUACUGUUAGGUGUACUGUUAGUACUCUCAUUUUUUGAUUUCAUUGAAAAACUGAAAAGGUUCGUGUCCAUGUAAUUUUUAUGCUAGCUAUGUACUUUCAGGAACUCUCCGAGAAUUAAGAAACCCUCUGUUUUGCUUGGAACACUUGGCCUAGUUGUCUGCCCCUCCUCUUCUGUGCUUUACAGCUUCUCCAUAACCAUGGAGAAACCUGAAGAUCCAAGUGGAGAAAAGAAAGGUGCGUGCUUUCUGAACUGAUUUAUUGCAUAUGAAUCUCAAUGUUGUGUGUUUAUAUUGGCUUGUUCGUGUCUUAUAGUUGACCCAGGCAGACGCUGCAACCUGUGGCUUGCUUGCUUUUUCUGUUUUCUUUCUCCCACUGAAUCAACGAAUAUGCAGCACAGUAUGUGUUAAAAAAAGCACUUCUCAACUUCAGAUGGGUGUGCCCUCCAAAAUACUGACUUCCUGUCUGCUUGUUUGAAAAGAACACAAGCUGAUUUUGUUUCUGGAACUCAGCACACUGACUUACUCCAUAGGUUAUUAUUGCCCCAACACAGAUUAGUACUAAAAACG
rnacentral:lncRNA from 1 species